rnacentral:rRNA from 1 species
GACGAACCGAGCGAACGUUGUUCGGAAUCACUGGGCUUAAAGGGCGCGUAGGCGGGCGGUCAAGUCAGGGGUGAAAGCCCCCAGCUCAACUGGGGAAGUGCCUCUGAUACUGGCCGUCUCGAGGGGGAUAGGGGCGUGCGGAACUUCCGGUGGAGCGGUGAAAUGCGUAGAUAUCGAGAGGAACACCUGCGGCGAAGGCGGGUUGCUGGGCUGAUACUGACGCUGAGGCGCGAAAGCCAGGGGAGCGAACGGG